rnacentral:rRNA from 1 species
GACGAACGCUGGCGGCGUGCCUAACACAUGCAAGUCGAGCGGAGAUAUAGGAGCUUGCUUUUAUAUCUUAGCGGCGGACGGGUGAGUAACGCGUGGGUAACCUGCCUUACACAGGGGGAUAACACAGGGAAACUUGUGCUAAUACCGCAUAAGACGACGACAUGGCAUCAUGAUGUAGUCAAAGGAGAAAUCCGGUGUAAGAUGGACCCGCGUCCGAUUAGCUAGUUGGUGAGGUAACGGCUCACCAAGGCGACGAUCGGUAGCCGAACUGAGAGGUUGAUCGGCCACAUUGGGACUGAGACACGGCCCAGACUCCUACGGGAGGCAGCAGUGGGGAAUAUUGCGCAAUGGGGGAAACCCUGACGCAGCAACGCCGCGUGAAGGAUGAAGGUUUUCGGAUUGUAAACUUCUUUAGUCGGGGACGAAAAAAUGACGGUACCCGAAGAAUAAGCCACGGCUAACUACGUGCCAGCAGCCGCAGUAA